CUUUGUGAAUGUUUGUUUCUUUGAGCUAGGCUUGGGAUGGGGAAGACUCUUCUCUCCUUUGUUCCAGACAUGAGUGAGAUCAGAAAGUCUCCUAGACAACAAGAGCUAGCUCCCUCUGACACUUCUUUGCUACCCUGUCUGACCUUUCUCUGGGCAUGCCCUUUUCCUAGGGUUAGAGUCCAAAAGCCAAGUUGACAUGCCAACGCGGAGCUCAUGCCUGUGUAGGGAAGGAAAAUAAUUUCUUUCUACUUUUCAUAGUUUUUAGUUGGGACAGACCCCUGUAACAAAAGACAGAUUAACAAGAGAAAAACAGAAGUUUAAUAACAAGUAUACCCUCGUGCAUGCAUGGAGGUACUCAGAAAAAUGAAUAAAUCUCAAAGAGGUGGCUUGGAAUUCAGGCUUAAAAAUUAUUGUCUACAGAAAGUAAGAAAGAAGGGCACGGGGAAGGCUGGUUAUGGGAAGAAAAA